rnacentral:tRNA from 1 species
ACUUUCUUAGUAUAAUUAGUACUGCUGACUUCCAAUCAGUAAGAUCCAUAUAAUAAUGGAAGAAAGUA